CUCUUCCUCUGUCCCUAGACCUGGCACCCUUAAGAUGCAGGGACACUGGCCCCUGUUCCUAGGAUGAUCAGGGGCAGCCUGGGCCCUGCUCCAGGCCAGAAGGCCCCGCCACUGCAGGUGCUGCUGGGCUGUCUACCUGCCCCAGAGGGGUCUCCAGGCAGUGGGCAGCCCCUGAGGUGGCCUCCUGUCUCUCAGACCCCUAUGCUGAACCUCCGGCCCUGCCCUACUGGCCCUUCUCCACCUCUGACUUCUGGAACUACGUGCAGUACCUGCAGAGCCUGGGUGCCUACCCACAGCUGGAGGACCUGGCCCGCACCUUCUUUGCCCACUUCCCCCUGGGGAGCACCCUGGGCUUCCACGUCCCCUACCAGGAGGACUGACGCCUGCCUGACUGCACUGCCCUUGCCUUGGGGUGACCCAUAGCCAUGGUGGGGUGGGGGUCUGGUGGCUUCACACCAGUAAACCUCCCACUGAAGAGGCAGCACAGGCCAUGGGGUGCCACAGGCCAGGGACACACUCUGACCCACCCCACAGCUGCACACUGCUCUAUUGUCUCCCCAGCUAACCUGGCUGGCUCUGAUCCCUGGGGACUCUGCUUUAAUAAAUGUCUGCACACUUUCAUCCACGGAGUCGCCACUGUGUCACCCCCUCCUCCAGUUCUCUCCAUAACCCUCAGAUUGCCGGUGAGGAAACUGAGGCAGGAACAGAGGCUCGGCCUGAAUCGUUAAAGCCAUUCAGCUGGUCAGAGGAGCUGGUUCCAGCCCCAGCAGGGGACACGGAGUUGGGCAGCAGUCAGCCCAGGGCAGGUGUCCACACUUCACACAGAGCACACUCUUGAGGGCAGCAGGGAAUGAGGACACGUGAGCCCAUCUGUGAGGGGAGUCAGGGCCCAGGUUCAGGCUCCGAGGCUGAGGAGGGAGGGGUUUGUGGCCCUGGGCAGUCCUGUGGGAGUGGGAGGGUGGACAGGCAGCGCAGGAGUGCCUCAGGUCCAGCCCCAGUGCAGUGAGACCCAUCUGUGCAAGGUGUGCAAGCCAAGAGGACCGUGAGGCUCACACCCAGUCAGGGAAGAAAGCCAGCCAGUGGCAGCCCCCUCAGUGCCUCAGGGGACACACUCUAACCUGGCAUCUGAGGCUCCUCUGCCCUGAAUCCAGUCCCUGUCCACUCAGGCCAGGCUGGCCCCUGUCCAGGCCACAAUACCCUCACAUCUCUGCUCUGUCCCUUGGCCUCCACAGCCCCUCCCAACCUCCAUGUCCACCUACUGCUGAAAGUUAAGGAAAAGAUGAUUCAAGGACACUAAAGGCGGGUAAGAGACUCCAUUCAGGACUACCAAGACAGGGGCAAAGGCCUGUGGGGCCUCCCAAUGAGAAAGACUGCGUUCAACUCCAAGGGCAGCAGCAGUGGGGGUGGACAGCAAGGAGCAGGCUGGGUGAUGGGCGGAAAGUGACUGAAGGUGGCACAGUGCAUCUUGCUAAACAGGACUUGGGGAAGGAGGCCAGGGAGCUCAGAUACCCACGGGUGUGAGGGCGGAGGAACCCCAUCAGAUGUCGGGGUGCUCACAUCUGGCUGCGCUGGCUUAGCAGGGCUCUUUGCUAAAAUUGGGCUUUACAGACGUGCAGAGCUGGGCCUCAGACGAGGAGGCGGCUGCACUCUGGGCAGCGGACCAAGUCGAGGCCAGGCGCCUCCUGCUCCCUCUCGGCUCUGGUCUCUCCCUCCUUUCCUUCCCUACCCCCUUUUCUCCGUCACAAAUUGUGGCAAAACAAUACAACAUGAAAUUUCCACCUUAACCAGAUUCAAGUGUCACCAGGCACGUUCCCGGCGCCUCCAACGGGACACCGUGUCUUUAGGUGACCGGCUUAUUUCAGUAACACGAUGUCCUCGAGGCUGGCCCUCGCUGACCGCGGGGGAACGUGCCUCCUGGGUGGCACUGCGCCCAGGGGACAGGCCCGUUCCGUUUGUGCCUUCGCCCACGGCGCGGCGCUCGCAGGAGUCCGCUUCCCACCGGGGACGCGCUCCGGAGGGGGCUCGGGGCGGCCCUGUGCGGUAUUCCGAGGACUCGGGGAUGUCCUCCGGUCGCCGCGAGGUCCCGCCUCCGCGGGCAGUCCCAGAACGCGGACGCGGGUGGCGCGCGGCGGCUGUGAACGUCGCCGCGCGUCCCCGAGCCUGGCGUCCGCAUCCUUCUCCGGGAAGAGCUGCCGUGCCCGGCCCGCUCCACGUCGGGCUUCGACGUCCAAGAGCGCCCCGCUCCCUCCACCCGUCGGCUGCGACGCAGCCUCCGGCUCCCGGCGCCCUCCCCGGGCACGCAGGUCGGCGAGACCAGCCCAGCUCCCGAUGGCGCGGCACGAAGCAAACCCCGCCUGACCGGGGCCCGCGGCGGGCACCACCGAGUCGCGGUCCUCCAGCGUCUAGACCUGCCGGGUGGGAGCGCCGGAAGUAGGCGCGGCGAGCCGGAAGUGGGCAGAGCGCGACGGCCCGAGAUGAAGCCGGCGGUGGACGAGAUGUUCCCCGAGGGCGCCGGUCCCUACGUGGACCUGGACGAGGUGAGGUGGGAGCGUCGGCGUUCUGGCCUAGCGUAGGGGCGGCUGCCGGAAGGCGGGAGCUGGUUCCCCGCCUGGCGACGCCCGCGCGUCUUGGGGACGAGCCUGGCCGGGGCCCGCGGGGUGGGUACCGGAGGGAGGAGAGAACGCAGGGCCAGAUGGUGGAGCGGCACGGAGCGGGCGGGUCCUGCGCAUCCCACUCCCGGGGCCCCGAACCCAGCUCCUGUCAGGUUUUAAGGCCCCUGCGGGAGGCCUCAGGCUCCGAUUUGCUAGGCGGCUGGUCACUUAGCAGAGUUCGGAGUUGGGUUUGGAGUGGGAGAGUAGGAAAAUGGAAUUAGAAAGGAAACUUGAAGAAGGUCUGAAUAAGGCCGGUGGGAUUUACGUGGUGGUGUCUGCGUGGCUUCCUGUAGCGUUGCGUUGGGGAGGCUGGCUGAGAAGGGGGGAGUCUUGGAACCUUGGCAGCAGCCUGAAACGGAGCACGGAGGCGUUUGGCACUUAAGAGUUGAGCACACACCUUCGAGGGUGUAGGGACCAGAGCAGGAACAGGCUCCUGUGGCCAGCCAUCCAGACAGCUACCAUCAGAGGACCCUGCACUGAUCCUUCCCAGGCGACUAAGCAACGGGCAGAAUCCUGAGUGCAUUCUAUUGCCCAGCGGUGGCAGUGACCUGAUUUUGCCACCAGGAGGAGCUUCAGCUGUGGGAGGCUCUGAGGGCACACAAGGGCCAGGGCAGGUCAGCUUCCAAGGGAAAUGGUUGCAUUCUCAAAAGGGAGGGGUCCAGAAUAGUUGCCAGACUGGGGUUGCACAUGCUUGUGGUCUCUGUGCAGUGUCCAGGAGGGGACUGGAGGCUGAACUUGAGGUCCACAGGUGAGUAGUGGCACACAGGGCAAUGGGAAUUCUCUUUUUGAAAGAAAGGGAAAAAUUAAGGAAUGUAGAAUUUUAAAAACUGCUCCUUGAAUUCCCCCUUCACACACAUUCUUUAUUUGCAACUAAAAUUCUUAACUCCACCCUGAGUACUUGCCUGUCACCCCUCACCCUGUUCCUGUUUCCUGGAGGUAUGGGAUGCUAUGACAACUCAAAGCUGUUUUGGGGAAAGAGCUCACAUAACUUGCCUUUCACUCCCCAGGCAGGAGGCAGCACUGGACUCCUGAUGGACUUGGCAGCCAAUGAGAAAGCAGUCCAUGCAGACUUCUUUAAUGGUAAGGGUGCUGGGAUUCUGCAUGCCUGGUUUUAUUUAAAAGUUUUUCCUGUAAGUUAAUACAGUGGGACGAUCUUGUGACCUGAAUAAUUAGGAUCAUGGAAGAGUGAAGCCAAGACACUGCUGUUCUCAGAGUACAGUGCAGAAAUGAUCACACUGGCUGUCGGCCACAUCUGGAGAAGCAUGAAAUUGCUUCCUGUCUCACAUGCCAGGGCCUGAGAUUGAGUACGUGGCAUGAAUGUUAGCACAUGCUAACGGCCAGUUGUGGCUGCCCUGUCACCCUGGACAGGUUCUCUCGGGUGGCUGUACUCUCCUGAUCUUCCCUCCCUUCUUCCUUUCCCAUACUUGUCUGCCCUUGGCUGUCUUUGCAAGGAGCAGCCACACUCCGGCUUCAGCCCUUCCCAGUCUUUGAGUCGGGACGAGGACACACUUCAUCUUGUUUCAGAACUUUUCAUGCUAGCUACCCAGGAAGUUUUACCAAACACACUGAAAGCUGACCUCUCAUGAACCUUCAAGUGUGCUAGAGGCCAUGUUUCUCUUAUUCCUCUGGUUUCUGAAGGCUUUGUCCAUACAGGUUAUUUGGGCCCUUACCAAGGGUUCAAACAGAGGAAACAUAACAUACAUUUCCUGCUCAGAAGGGUAAGUGAGAUUUCUUUCCUUUUUCUGUCCCGCUGUAAUCACAUGGUUUUUGUCCCUACAAAGAACUUUUGUUACUCGCUAGUAGCAGCUGGGGUGUGAUCUUGCCACGUUGGUGUCUGCCUUUACAAAUAAUCCCUGAGUCCAUGCUAGUUUGGCUCACUGUCCAGGAGGAGGAACCUUGCUGCUAAAUAAGGUGCAGUCUUUCCAGGGGACCUGGCUGCCACCCACUGAUAUCAGACAUCCCAUAACCUUGGAGCUGAGCUUUGAGAGCCUCAAUAGCCUUUCUCUAAAUUCUGUCCAAGGGAACACAAGGUGCGGAAGGGUGGACGCCUUCCAGAGCUUCCUGGGAUUCUCACCAGGCAAGGCCGUCUCAUUCCUAGUGCUGGCACCAUUAAUUCACAGUUCAGUGAUCUUCAAAAGUCCCUUUUGUCCUUUGCUAGCCUCUUAAAUUAGAGAUGAUUGACUGUGUUCAAUGGUCAGUGUUGAGAUUUCCAAAGAUAGCCCUUGGAUUCCAGUGAGAAGGAUUUCCAAAGACAGUGGAUUCCUGUGCACCUGCUUCUGGGCUCAGGAGCAUGUCAGAGUCCUCCUGCAGGCGCUGCCUGUCUUGGGUGGUGGCUGUUGUUGUCCACGAGGAGCCUCUGGCUUCAGUUGAGGUUUCUCCCACAACCCUUUGGCUCGUCAGCUGGGUGGACUUUGGGAUCCAUUGUCUGCUGGGCAGUGGGUCCUCACGAUGAGUGUGACUUGCUCUCUUCCCUGGCUUGUUUCAUAGUGCAGUAGAGGAGUUAGACGAGGUGGCAGGCACGGCAGAACUGCACCCUGAGGGCUGGGUGGGAUUGCCCUGGAAGGUGUCUCCUUGUGAAGAUGUGGAGCAGAGGGAUGCUCUGGGGAGAGGGAAGGAAGUGUCUAGAGCAAUAGCACCACACAGAAAGGUCAGUGGGCAGCGAGUACUCCCUCUGUGGCCAGAGGAGCUGCCCUUCCCCAAAAAGGCCAGUGCGGGGCCUGCCCCAGCGCUCUGUCUGACCACGUCCUCAGGCCAGGGCCCACAGGAGGGGGCUUAGUUCUUUCUUUUCCCAUGGUGAAGGGGAUGUUGGCAUGAGGUCCAGAACUUGGAAGGUGCACAGAGGAAAGCAGAAGGACAAAUUGGCCCUGGCUGUGGUCACCCGGCCAGUGCCUUGUGUGUUUAUCCAGCUGCUUCUGGCAGGAAUGGGUCUUCGUUGUGUCUUGAACUCACCUCUUCCAGGCCCCCUAAGGCCAUUCUCAGUGGCGCAGUCCUUCUGCCACCUUUCUGCAGCCCCUCCGCAUGUCACCCUUAGCACAGGUGUCAGUGCAGCUGUGAGGUGGCUGUCAGUGUGCAACACCUGUGUCUUCCUGCGUAAGAGCAGGUUAAAAGCAUGUAGAAACCACACUGUCCCCUUGAAUUGUGAGCCCUGUUAGCUAAAGCUGAGCAUCUGUCGUGGGGAAAGGCCUCUGCCACAUCAUUUGCUGUCUGUGUCUUCAACUACCUGUAAUUAACUUUGAAGUGGGUUUCUGGGAUGCUUUCCCUAUGUGCCCAUUAAUGUGGGGUUCUGUUUACAUAGAUUUUGAAGAUCUCUUUGAUGACGAUGAUGUCCAGUGAGUCCGGUCCAGCUGCACACAUGGCCAUGCACAGCACACCAAUCUGCACAGAGGGCGGUGUCAGAUGGUUUAGAGACCUCGUGGAGAUCACUAGAAGNNNNNNNNNNNNNNNNNNNNNNNNNNNNNNNNNNNNNNNNNNNNNNNNNNNNNNNNNNNNNNNNNNNNNNNNNNNNNNNNNNNNNNNNNNNNNNNNNNNNNNNNNNNNNNNN
rnacentral:lncRNA from 1 species